rnacentral:sRNA from 10 species
AGGGUUACCCCACGUGUGCGAGGGGAACUGACGAGUACAUCAAACCCCGAACAAGCUCGGUUCGCAAGGGCGGCCGCCCCUUUCGGAUAAGCUAAGCCACGUCGGAUCACAAAGGUGACAAAGCACUCAAAUCCGGUCACACGGAGUUGGUACAUAUCAACAGUGCGGCUUUUACA